GGUUGUGGCUCAGUGGCAGAGUGCUUGCCUAGCACACAUGAGGCACUGGGUUCAAUCCUUGGCACCA
rnacentral:tRNA from 1 species